AAGUCGUAACAAGGUUUCCGUAGGUGAACCUGCGGAAGGAUCAUUAAUGAGUUGUGAUGGGGUUUGAUGCUGGCAGCCAAAUUUUGGAUGCAUGUGCUUGCCCUGACAAUCAUCUUCCAAACACCUGUGCACAUUUUUGAGGGAGUUUCGAGUUAAUUGCCACUUUUGGUGAUUUUCUCGCGUUCCCUUAAAUUUUAUUAUACGCUGUUAACAAAUGCUGAACGUGCUUUGUGCCGCAAGGCCCUUAAUAUAAUACAACUUUUAACAACGGAUCUCUUGGCUCUCGCAUCGAUGAAGAACGCAGCGAAAUGCGAUAAGUAAUGUGAAUUGCAGAAUUCAGUGAAUCAUCGAAUCUUUGAACGCACCUUGCGCUCCCUGGUAUUCCGGGGAGCACGCCUGUUCGAGUGUCGUGAAAUUUCUCGAGCUUGGAUGGCUUUUUUGUCCGUCCUUAGCCUUGGUUGUUGGGCUUUGCCGUGCCCUUCAUUGGGACGGCUGGCCUUAAAAGCAUUAGCUGAUCCUCGUGUGGCACUGGUUCUACUCAGCGUGAUAAUUGUCUGAUCGCUGAGGACAUCUUUUGGGAUGGCCAGUCCUCAUUUGGGUUGCUUCUAAACCUGGUCUUGCAGAUUCUUCAAUCUGUGUUCCACUUUUCAGCUUUGACCUCGAAUCAGGUGGGACUACCCGCUGAACUUAA
rnacentral:rRNA from 1 species